UACGAAGGGGGCUAGCGUUGCUCGGAUUCACUGGGCGUAAAGGGUGCGUAGGCGGUCGGGUAAGUCUGAUGUGAAAUCUCCAAGCUCAACUUGGAAAUGGCAUCGGAUACUAUUCGGCUCGAGGAAUGGAGGGGAGACUGGAAUACUUGGUGUAGCAGUGAAAUGCGUAGAUAUCAAGUGGAACACCAGUGGCGAAGGCGAGUCUCUGGACAGUACCUGACGCUGAGACACGAAAGCCAGGGGAGCAAACGGG
rnacentral:rRNA from 1 species